rnacentral:hammerhead_ribozyme from 1 species
GUCCAGAUGACGAGUCCCAAAUAAGACGAAAUGAGCAUCAUGGAU